rnacentral:rRNA from 1 species
UACGGAGGGAGCUAGCGUUGUUCGGAAUUACUGGGCGUAAAGCGCACGUAGGCGGCUUUGUAAGUUAGAGGUGAAAGCCCGGAGCUCAACUCCAGAACUGCCUUUGAUACUGAGAAGCUUGAGUUCGGGAGAGGUGAGUGGAACUGCGAGUGUAGAGGUGAAAUUCGUAGAUAUUCGCAAGAACACCAGUGGCGAAGGCGGCUCACUGGCCCGAUACUGACGCUGAGGUGCGAAAGCGUGGGGAGCAAACAGG